rnacentral:rRNA from 2 species
CAGGACGAACGCUGUGUGGCGUGCUUAACACAUGCAAGUCGAACGGUAAGGCCCUUCGGGGUACACGAGUGGCGAACGGGUGAGUAACACGUGGGUGAUCUGCCCUGCACUUCGGGAUAAGCCCGGGAAACUGGGUCUAAUACCGGAUAGGACUGCGCGGUGCAUGCCGUGUGGUGGAAAGAUUUAUCGGUGCAGGAUGGGCCCGCGGCCUAUCAGCUUGUUGGUGGGGUAAUGGCCUACCAAGGCGACGACGGGUAGCCGGCCUGAGAGGGCGACCGGCCACACUGGGACUGAGACACGGCCCAGACUCCUACGGGAGGCAGCAGUGGGGAAUAUUGCACAAUGGGCGCAAGCCUGAUGCAGCGACGCCGCGUGAGGGAUGACGGCCUUCGGGUUGUAAACCUCUUUCAGCAGGGACGAAGCGUGAGUGACGGUACCUGCAGAAGAAGCACCGGCCAACUACGUGCCAGCAGCCGCGGUAAUACGUAGGGUGCAAGCGUUGUCCGGAAUUACUGGGCGUAAAGAGCUCGUAGGCGGUUUGUCGCGUCGUCUGUGAAAACCAGCAGCUCAACUGUUGGCUUGCAGGCGAUACGGGCAGACUUGAGUAUUUCAGGGGAGACUGGAAUUCCUGGUGUAGCGGUGAAAUGCGCAGAUAUCAGGAGGAACACCGGUGGCGAAGGCGGGUCUCUGGGAAAUAACUGACGCUGAGGAGCGAAAGCGUGGGUAGCGAACAGGAUUAGAUACCCUGGUAGUCCACGCCGUAAACGGUGGGCGCUAGGUGUGGGUUUCCUUCCACGGGAUCCGUGCCGUAGCUAACGCAUUAAGCGCCCCGCCUGAGACGCCGACCUUG